rnacentral:tRNA from 2 species
UGUAUGUUAGUGUAUGAAGCACAAAGAAUUUUGAUUUCUUAGGAUUUAGUUUAAUUCUAAAACAUAUAA